GAUCUGAAAUCAGGUAGGGCUACCCGCUGAACUUAAGCAUAUCAAUAAGCGGAGGAAAAGAAACUAACAAGGAUUCCCCUAGUAACGGCGAGUGAAGCGGGAAGAGCUCAAAUUUAAAAUCUGGUUUGCUUUGCAAAUCCGAGUUGUAGUCUGAAGAAACGUUUUCCAUGAAAGCUGAGGCGCAAGUCCUUUGGAACAGGGCAUCAUAGAGGGUGAGAAUCCCGUCCAUGGUCUCAAGCCUUUCAUUUUGUGAUACGUUUUCUAAGAGUCAGGUUGUUUGGGAAUGCAGCCUAAAAUGGGUGGUAAAUUUCAUCUAAAGCUAAAUAUUGGCGAGAGACCGAUAGCGAACAAGUACCGUGAGGGAAAGAUGAAAAGAACUUUGAAAAGAGAGUUAAAAAGUACGUGAAAUUGUUGAAAGGGAACCGUUUGAAGCCAG
rnacentral:rRNA from 1 species